rnacentral:rRNA from 1 species
UACGGAGAGGCCCAAACGUUAUUCGGAAUUACGUGGGCUUAAAGAGUUCGUAGGCGGCUGACAGAAAGUAAGGGUCGUGGAAAGUCCCUCCGGGCUCAACCUGAAGGAAUUGCGCUCUAAACUGGAUGAGCUUGAGUACCAAAGAGGAUCGCGGAAAUUCCCGGUGUAGAGGUGAAAUUCGUAGAUAUCGGGGAGGAACACCAGUGGCCGAAGGCGGCGAAUCUGGGUGGAUACUGACG